GACGAACGCUGGCGGCGUGCCUAACACAUGCAAGUGGAGCGACGAACCAGGCUUCGGCCUGGGGCAAGGCCGCGAACGGGUGAGUAACACGUGGGUAACCUGCCCUGAUGAUUGGGACAACCCGAGGAAACUCGGGCUAAUACCGAAUGUGCCCUCCGGCCUCAAGGCCGCUGGGGAAAGGAAGCUUCGGCCUCCGCAUCGGGAUGGGCCCGCGGCCCAUUAGCUUGUUGGUGAGGUAACGGCNCACCAAGGCGACGAUGGGUAGCUGGUCUGAGAGGACGAUCAGCCACACUGGGACUGAGACACGGCCCAGACUCC
rnacentral:rRNA from 1 species